rnacentral:rRNA from 1 species
GGGGGGGGGGAGGGGGGGGGCGGGCGCAGGGGGGGGGGGCGGGAGUUGUGCUUCGGGACAGGGAGAGCGGCGCACGGGUGCGGAACACGUGUGCAACCUGCCUUGAUCUGGGGGAUGGCCUUUCGAAAGGAGGAUUAAUACCCCAUAAUAUAUUGAGUGGCAUCAUUUGAUAUUGAAAACUCCGGUGGCUCGCGAUGGGCACGCGCAAGAUUAGCUAGUUGGUGAGGUAACGGCUCACCAAGUCAAUGAUCUUUAGGGGGCCUGAGAGGGUGAUCCCCCACACUGGUACUGAGACACGGACCAGACUCCUACGGGAGGCAGCAGUGAGGAAUAUUGGACAAUGGGUUAGCGCCUGAUCCAGCCAUCCCGCGUGAAGGACGACGGCCCUAGGGGUUGUAAACUUCUUUUGUAUAGGGAUAAACCUACUCUCGUGAGAGUAGCUGAAGGUACUAUACGAAUAAGCACCGGCUAACUCCGUG